rnacentral:rRNA from 1 species
UACGUAGGGUGCGAGCGUUGUCCGGAAUUAUUGGGCGUAAAGAGCUCGUAGGCGGUGUGUCACGUCGUUCGUGAAAACCUGCAGCUUAACUGUGGGCGUGCGGUCGAUACGGGCAUCACUGGAGUUCGGCAGGGGAGACUGGAAUUCCUGAUGUAGCGGUGAAAUGCGCAGAUAUCAGGAGGAACACCGGUGGCGAAGGCGGGUCUCUGGGCCGAUACUGACGCUGAGGAGCGAAAGCGUGGGGAGCGAACAGG